GACUUAAUAGCAACGAUCUACUGUGGAAUUUACACGAUAUAUCAAUGUCUUAACCAAGUUACAUUUACACACAACAUUUUGUGUAAAACGACACAAUUCUUUAUUGGACUAACAACAUUUAUUCCAAUUUGUUUAUUACUCAUAAUUGCAGUUCAGAGAUAUUUGAAAGUGUGUAUGCCCCUGAAACCAGAAAUAUCGGUCCAUGUUAAGAGAACUGCAUUGAUAUUAACAAUUGUAAUUUCAUCGUUAUGUGCACUACCUUUACCGUAUGUUUACGGCUCUGUUCCAUUUCAUAGCAUCACUCAUGGAACUAUUGGAAAACGUUGUGGCAAAGUAAAAGAAGGUCACAUGCUAUCAAGGACAAUAUAUACCAUCGUGAUAGGUAUUCUUGCUGUUGCUAUAAUAACAACGCUUAUUGUCCUAUACUCUUUAGUUGGAUGUGCAGUCUUUCGUCAAUUAAAGAUGAACAAACGUAAUAGUAGUAGAGUAGAAUUCAGAAAUUCGAUUACAAAAACUAAUGGAGAUGAGGCUUCUGGAACCGAAACUAGUGUUGUUACGAAGAAUAACAUCAUUUCCGAUCUAGAUUCCAAAAUAUCAAAUUCAAGUAGAGAAGAACGGUUGGAAAAAAAUCACCAAACAACUCUGUCUCAACUUGUUGGAUCCAAAAGAAGACAGAAGACUAACCGUCGAAUAACUUACAAACUAACAAUUAUGUUUUUUGUUAUAACUUUGGUUUUCCUAUUUAGUUAUAUGCCGAAAGUGAUUUUGCUUCUUGUUGAAGGCCUAAACAAAGACUUUUGGGAAAAAGUGUCAAACACAGAAAGACCUGCAUUGAUGUUUUUAUAUCAUAUCUUUAUCAUUAAUAAUAUCGUGAAUCCUUUUAUAUACGCUUUCAUGGAUAUCAAGUUUCGUGGAGAAGCGACAGUUUUCUUAAAUCGUGUUUUUAAAAGCAAAUUUUGAUUGUGAAUAAUAAACAACACAAUAUAGCUUGCGCAAAUUAUUACAAAGCAUGACACAACUGUGUUUUAACCAA
rnacentral:lncRNA from 1 species